rnacentral:misc_RNA from 1 species
AACGCACAUUGCGCCCGCCAGUAUUCUGGCGGGCAUGCCUGUCCGAGCGUCAUUUCAACCCUCGGGCCCGCCUCGCCGUCCGCGGCGGCGGGCCCGGUGCUGGGGACCGGUCCCCGGCGUCGCCCUCGGGCGCCGCCAGCGGGGGCCGCCCUCGAAAUACAGUGGCCGCCGCGCCGCCCGUCUCCUCUGCGUAGUAGAAAACCUCGCACCGGGACGCGGCGCGGCCGUGCCGCGGGACGACCUCUCGCCCCGCACACACAAUCAGUGGUUGACCUCGGAUCAGGUAGGAAUACCCGCUGAACUUAA